rnacentral:rRNA from 1 species
GAUGAACGCUAGCGAUAGGCUUAACACAUGCAAGUCGAGGGGCAGCACAAGGUAGCUUGCUAUCUGGGUGGCGACCGGCGCACGGGUGCGUAACGCGUAUGCAACUUGCCCUAUACAGGAGGAUAACCCGUCGAAAGACGGACUAAUACUGCGUAUGCUCACAACUUGGCAUCAAGUGGUGAGGAAAGAAAUUCGGUAUAGGAUAGGCAUGCGUCCCAUUAGCUUGUUGGUGAGGUAACGGCUCACCAAGGCAACGAUGGGUAGGGGAACUGAGAGGUUUAUCCCCCACACUGGUACUGAGACACGGACCAGACUCCUACGGGCGGCAGCAGUGAGGAAGAUUGGGCAAUGGGCGCGAGCCUGAACCAGCCAAGUCGCGUGAAGGAUGACUGUCUUAUGGAUUGUAACCUUCUUUUAUACGGGAAUAACAAGAGUCACGUGUGACUCCCUGCAUGUACCGUAUGAAUAAGCAUCGGCUAACUCCGUG